rnacentral:rRNA from 1 species
CGCAGGUGGUUUGGCAAGUUUGACGUGAAAGCCCCGGGCUUAACCCGGGAAUGGCGUUGAAAACUGCUUGAACUGGAGGAUUGGAGGGGGGACUGGAAUUCUUGGUGUAGCAGUGAAAUGCGUAGAUAUCAAGAGGAACACCAGUGGCGAAGGCGAGUCCCUGGACAAUACCUGACACUGAGGCACGAAAGCCAAGGGAGCAAACA